rnacentral:rRNA from 1 species
UGAGCCGCGUAGGAUUAGGUAGUUGUGGGGUAAUGGCCCACCAAGCCGACGAUCCUUAGCUGGUCUGAGAGGAUGAUCAGCCACACUGGGACUGAGACACGGCCCAGACUCCUACGGGAGGCAGCAGUGGGGAAUAUUGGACAAUGGGCGAAAGCCUGAUCCAGCAAUGCCGCGUGAGUGAUGAAGGCCUUAGGGGUUGUAAAAGCUCUUUUACCAGGGGAUGAUAAUGACAGUACCUGGAGAAUAAGCUCCGGCUAACUCCGUGCCAGCAGCCGCGGUAAUACGGAGGGAGCUAGCGUUGUUCGGAAUUACUGGGCGUAAAAGCGCACGUAGGCGGUUACUCAAGUCAGAGGUGAAAGCCCGGGGCUCAACCCCGGAACUGCCUUUGAAACUAGGUGACUAGAAUCUUGGAGAGGUCAGUGGAAUUCCGAGUGUAGAGGUGAAAUUCGUAGAUAUUCGGAAGAACACCAGUGGCGAAG